GCUGCAUUUUCUCCAAGGGACCUUCCUGGGAUCCUCGUUCACUUAAUCUUUCUUUGAAAGAGACCUGGGGCUUUCGGGGGCCUGGGUGGCUCAUUCAGGCUCCUCCCUGCACCCCACAGGACAUCCCUUUGGGAGCCCGUGUGUGCAGAAGACUAUGCUGAGCACUGAUGUGGGUAAAAGAUGGGAAUCCAGCUCAUUGUAAUCGCGGAUACCGUAAGCUAGCACCCCGCGGAGGGCUGUCCGUGUAGUGGCCCCUAAACUGUGACUCUGAGACAGAUGGCAGUGCAGGGCCCAGGACCAAGGACAGAAACAAGGAAGCACUCAAAGGCUAACGGGGGAGUAUCAGCAGGACACAGGAGCCGGCCGAAAGGCGCUCCCAUGGGCCGAACUCUGGAUCAUCUG